AAGGACACAACAUACCAGAAUCUCUGGGACACACCUAAAGCAGUGUUUAAAGGAAAAUUUAUAGCACUAAAUGCCCAUAGGAGACAGCAAGAAAGAUAUAAAAUUGACACCCUAAUAUCACAAUUAAAAGAACUAAAAAAGGUGCACCCCUUCCCAGCCGCCCGGCCCCGACUGCCAGCUCUUCUUCGUCGCGCCGCCACCAUGCUCUCCGUCCGCGUCCCGCUCGCGCCCAUCACGGACCCGCAGCAGCUGCAGCUCUCGCCGCUGAAGGGGCUCAGCCUGGUCGACAAGGAGAACACGCCCCCGGCCCUGAACGGGACCCGCGUCCUGGCCAGCAAGACCGCGAGGAGCCCGCGGAGCCGAAACCUAGAGCAGCCGCCCCCGGCGUGGAGGAGGAGCCGCUGCUGAGAGCAAACCCACGCUGCUUUGUCAUCUUCCCCAUCAAGUACCAGGACAUCUGGCAGAUGUAUAAGAAGGCGGAGGCCUCCUUCUGGACCGCCGAGGAGGUUGUGACCACCGAACCGCAGGUGGACCUGUCCAAGGACAUUCGGCACUGGGAGUCCCUGAAGCCCGAGGAGAGAUACUUUAUAUCCCACGUUCUGGCUUUCUUUGCAGCGAGCGAUGGCAUAGUGAAUGAAAACCCGGUGGAGCGAUUUAGCCAAGAAGUUCAGAUCACAGAAGCCCGCUGUUUCUAUGGCUUCCAAAUUGCCAUGGAAAACAUACAUUCUGAAAUGUAUAGUCUCAUUGACACUUACAUAAAAGAUCCCAGGGAAAGGGAAUUUCUCUUCAAUGCCAUUGAAACGAUGCCUUGUGUCACGAAGAAGGCAGAUUGGGCCUUGCGCUGGAUUGGGGACAAAGAGGCUACCUAUGGUGAACACGUCGUAGCCUUUGCUGCAGUGGAAGGCAUCUUCUUUUCUGGUUCUUUUGCAUCCAUAUUCUGGCUCAAGAAACGAGGACUGAUGCCUAGCCUCAUAUUUUCUAAUGAACUUAUUAGCAGAGAGGAGGGUUUACACUGUGAUUUUGCUUGCCUGAUGUUCAAACACCUAGGACACAAACCAUCAGAGGAGAGAGUAAGAAAUAAUUAUCAAUGCUGUUCCGAUAGAACAGGAGCUCCUCACUGAGGCCUUGCCUGUGAAGCUCAUUGGAAUGAAUUGCACUCUAAUGAAGCAAUACGUUGAGUUUGUAGCAGACAGACUUAAGCUGGAACUGGGUUUUAGCAAGGUUUUCAGAGUAGAGAAUCCAUUUGACUUUAUGGAGAAUAUUUCACUGGAAGGAAAGACUAACUUCUUUGAGAAGAGAGUAGGCGAGUAUCAGAGGAUGGGAGUGAUGUCAAGUCCAACAGAGAAUUCUUUUACCUUGGAUGCUGACUGCUAGAUGAACUGAAGAUGUGCCUUUAUUUUGCUGAUUUCUUUUUUCCACCUCAUGAAAAAAAUCAGCUAAAGUGUUAUCAACUAGCUACACCAUGCAUUGUCCAUAAUGUUCAUUAACAGCAUCUUUAAAACUGUGUAGCUACCUCACAACCAGUCCUGUUUAUUUAUAAUGCUGGUACUAUCACUUUUUGCUAGCAGGCUGGCUGGCUGGCUGUGACUUACCAUAGCAGUGACAGUGGCAGUCUUCGGGUGACCUUCUAGUGAGCUUGACACAGCAGGAUUAAACAUUUCAUUUAACCAGCACAGGCAGUUGAAAGAUGCAGCCUCACUGCUUCAAUGCAGAUUUUCAUGUUUACUUAAAUAUAAAACUGGCACUUUACAAACAAACAUUGUUUGUACUCA